rnacentral:lncRNA from 1 species
CGCGCAGGGUCCACUAUCCAAACACCGAAACCUCGCGCUGGUCCCCGCGCCCCCAUUGGCCGCGCUCGCGCGAGCCGGCGACGCCGGAGAGCCGGGAGCCAAUGGGCGCGCGGCUCGCGAGCCCGUCAGCGAGCACGGCUCGGACUCCGUUGCUCUUUUGAGAACCUGCACAGCGCUUUGCCCGCCGCCCCGAGCCACACACCUAGCGCUGGGGUCCCGGUGUCCACAAUCACGAGACGUCUCCAACCUGUCUCUUGUUGAAUGUCAGAGUAAUGGGAAGUGCCAGUGACAAGACGGCGUAUUACUCCUGAUUAAGUGCCGUGUCAACCUAAUUAGCAGAGUAAUUAUAAGGUGCUAAUGAAUGAUUCAAAGUUCUUUGAGUUACAUUUUACUCCAAAUUACCAUUUUAAGAACCCAAUGAAUCUGCGUGGCUGCCAUCUCUUCCGUGACUAGAUGCGGAAUGGUUUUUAGAAAAUGGCCUUUAAUGCCUCCCAGGGCUGGGCCCAAAGCUGGGGUUUCUUGCGAUCGUUUUCUGGGGACAGCUUUCUUUCAGAGGGGACGUGGGAGGGGUGUCCGUCCGGGAGGUCGCAGAGUAGGCGCUGUCUUUCGGUGGGAACCGCGUGGGCGCGCGCCCCGAGUCUGGAGGGGUACUUGGGACACCCGUCCUCCCUCGGUUUUCCUCUGGAAAUGAAGGUGCCCCCCCCCACCCCCAGAAAGAGUCCACGCCGCUUCGGGGGUGUGUUGAGCCGUUUCGUGAUUCUCUUCGCUCCGUGCUUCGCUGGGCUGUCUCGGAGGAGAACAGCGGGGAGAGGAGGGACGGAGGCGAGGAGAAGUACAAUCGGACAGCUCUCGCUUUUCUCGGAAGGCCUGGGCAGUUUGGCGGCGAGGCCCGGGAUGACAAUGCCAACUGACGGAAAUGAGGUGCAAAGGCGUUUCCUUCCACUGGGCGGCGCCAAGAGCCCCGGACCAGGGAGCCGGCUAUUGUUUCUAGAAAAGAUGCAAGAUACACAAAUAAGCUUUCCACCGUCUAAGGCUGACUCCCUGACGACCUCUCGCCAUUUCAAAGCUGCAGAAACAUCAGAAAUUGUCUUCCCUUUUUUCUCCUCAAUUCAUCGAUAUAUUUCCAACUGCCUAAGGACUUGA